rnacentral:rRNA from 1 species
GUAGGUGGCAAGCGUUGUCCGGAAUUAUUGGGCGUAAAGCGCGCGCAGGCGGUUCUUUAAGUCUGAUGUGAAAGCCCACGGCUCAACCGUGGAGGGUCAUUGGAAACUGGAGAACUUGAGUACAGAAGAGGAGAGCGGAAUUCCACGUGUAGCGGUGAAAUGCGUAGAGAUGUGGAGGAACACCAGUGGCGAAGGCGGCUUUCUGGUCUGUAACUGACGCUGAGGCGCGAAAGCGUGGGGAGCAAACAGGAUUAGAUACCCUGGUAGUCCACGCCGUAAACGAUGAGUGCUAAGUGUUAGGGGGGUUUUCCGCCCCCCUUAGUGCUGCAGCUAACGCAUUAAGCACUCCGCCUGGGAGUACGGCCGCAAGGCUG